rfam:Camelus ferus unplaced genomic scaffold scaffold212, whole genome shotgun sequence.
GAGGGUAUAGCUCAGUGGCAGAGUGCAUGCUUAGUGUGCACGAGGUCAUGGGUUCAAUCCUCAGUACCUCCA